GCGGGGGCGCCCUGAGAGAGGAGAGGACGUUGGCGGAGCCCGGGGGGGUGGAGGCGCAGGGGCGCAGGGGCCGGGCUGCGAGAGGCGCCGGCGUCGGAAACGCGGUCGGGCGGCCAGCUGGCCAGAGCUCCAGCCGGCACUCGGAGGCCGGAGCCGGCUGCGACCCCCGGGAAGGGCCGGGGGCGCGACGGGCUGGCCUAGGAGCCUGUUUGGCGGGAAGCCCAUGGGGAUGGGGGGGCAGAAGUAGAGGGCGGUGGGGAAGAGAAGUCCAACGUCGACCUCAUCCUAACUCUCCCGGCCUUCUGAGGCAUCGAGUGGGCACUGCUUCUGCCCGCGGCCCUCGCUCUUCGUUCGCAGGACUAGGACCUUCCCAAGUUUUAUUCAAGAACUCAUACAAAAUAUUCCAG